rnacentral:lncRNA from 10 species
UCCAUCUGUAAGGGUGUACCCUUCUGUAGAAGUACCUUGCCUUGCUGAGAAUUAAAAAGAAAAUUUUAUAUUCGAGUACUAGUUCUUUUGCAGCACCGAAACUUUAUUUAUAACAAUUUGGGGCCUCACCGGUGAUUACAUUAUCCUCCGGGGGCGGUCUCUGGUUCUCUCUUCUGAGGAGACAUGCCCCGCCCCCUUGUGGCGGCCUCGGGGGUGAGAACUCAAGACCCACUCAGUGCGAGGAAUAACCGCAGCUCUCAGCAACGCGCAGGGGAGGGGCUGGGGGGAGGGACUGGCCAGCAACCUAGCUUAAAGGAUCCUCAUAGACUGCAGCGACGAUUCUGUGCACAGACUAAGGAAGGAGAAGCUGCAGGAACCGUUUCCUGAGUUGCAAGUUUAGGCUCUUGGCUGUAAACAGUUCUUCUUUCCUAAUAUUUCAAACAUUUCAUUGAAGGAGAUCAAGAAAAUUAAUUACUGAUCAAGAGCCCACCUAAACUUGAAAACAAGCUUAUGUUACUAUAGAAGAAUGAGAGAUCACCUGGGCAAAUAUAAGACAUUUUAGAUGAUCCAUAAUAGAAUUACUAACCUCCAGUCUGUCUGCCAGCUCCACAAAGACACAAGAGCAAACCCAGAAAUUCUGAGAACCUUCCUUGAAAUCAUUGAACAGCAAAUGAACAAGCUGUUGCCAACCUGGGGUAGAAGACAGCAGAAUUCCAGCAAGUUUCCUGAAUGGAUUCCCAUUCACUGCUCUUGGACUUGGGAGAGCUCUGGUAAGAGACAGGGAAACCUUUCCUUUCCCCUUCCCAGGGACUCAGUAAAUAUGCAGGCACCACAGCCAGGGUAUUCAUUGAUCAGAUGUACAUCCCUCCUCCACAACAGACAAAUUGAUCACUCUGGAUCACCAAGAAGAUCUACGUUGUUUACAUAAUAACAAUAGUGGGGUUUAUUACAGUGUAAUAUUGUAAUGACUUUUUGUCCAGGAAACUUGUGAACAUCCCAUUUUUAUCCACAAACUGUUAUUCUUUCCUGCAAGGUCCCCAAGGGAAGUAUACACACAAUAUAAUUAAAACACAACAAAGAAGCAUUCUACUGUGCGUUUACCAUACACUCUAAAGUGGAAUUUCAAGACACUAAGCGAAAGCAUACUUUAUUUUAAAUGUUAGAUAUGCUGGUAUGUUUUGUACAAUCAAAUACUUAUGAGACCUGUUCUCUCCAUUUGUCCUAGUGAGGCAGGAAAUUAAAGAAAAAUAAAAUUAAAAAGAGAAAUAAGUUUUCCUGUAUUAGGCUAACUUGUCCCAGGCAGCAACAGGCACAGCCCAGACCCAGGAAAAUUCUUGCUAAUAUUAUCUAAUGUGCUCUGGAGGCUCUCCCAGCAUUCCCUCAACAUACGGAGAAGAAAAACCAAAUUUUCCUUUAUUUUAUGGAAUGAGUUUAUAGAUUCCUGUUCUCUGUAACUAGUGACUUCAAGUAUUGUUUUAUCUAAGAAGUACAACGAAGGUCAUGAGAAGCCUGAGUAGGCCUGAACUACAGCUGCCUGGGCACCAUAGUGAAGGUUAUGGGAUAAGCCCGUGCCUAGGCAAACCUAGAUAACGGACAUCUGGGUUGCAUAGCAAUGGUUAUGUGCAAUCCUACGUUAUACACCUGUUACAAUUUGAUUAACUGUCUUUGUCCUGCCUCUGUAUCCCUGCUUUCACACCACUGUAAGCUUGCUUCAAGCUAGCCGACCCCCUUUUCUAAAGUGUAUAUAAAAGUCAAGUGCUGUCUUUGUUCUGGGCCCAGUCUUUGGACGUGAGUCUGCUGGGCCUGAGUGCACUCAAUAAAAGGUUCUCCUGUUUUAACCCGAGACCUCUCUUGUCCUCCUGGAUCCCGCAACAAUAGAGCCAAAAUCUUGGUCGUUGAAUUUUCUCCUUUAAUGGGACAAAGUCUUCAGGGGCCACCACUUCUCA